GUGUCAGCAGCCGCGGUAAUACGUAGGUGGCAAGCGUUAUCCGGAAUUACUGGGUGUAAAGGGUGCGUAGGCGGGGUCUAAAGUCAGAUGUGAAAUGCUGCAGCUUAACUGCGGCACUGCAUUUGAAACUUAGGUUCUUGAGUGAGGUAGAGGUAAGCGGAAUUCCCAGUGUAGCGGUGAAAUGCGUAGAUAUUGGGAGGAACACCAGUGGCGAAGGCGGCUUACUGGGCCUUAACUGACGCUGAGGCACGAAAGCGUGGGGAGCAAACAGGAUUAGAUACCCUGGUAGUCCACGCUGUAAACGAUGGAUACUAGGUGUGGGGGGUCUGACCCCUUCCGUGCCGGAGUUAACACAAUAAGUAUCCCACCUGGGGAGUACGGCCGCAAGGUUGAA
rnacentral:rRNA from 1 species